UGGAAGCUGAAAGAACUUCAGUAACUCAGUUGGAGUGCAGGCAGCAGUGUUUGGGAAGGAGUAAAUGAAGCAGUUGGAAGCAAAGAAGCUGCUGCUUUGGGAUCCGCAAAUCAGAGGAUCAGGAAAUGUGAAACAACUUUCCUGACAGCUUCAGGGAGUGACAUCCAGGCAGGAACUCGGCGGCUUGGCAGAGCUGGAGGAGGAUAGCAGGUGAGCCUGGGAAACCUACAUCCUGGCAAGCUUCUUGCUGGGGGGAGGGAUCUGGUCUCCCAACCACUUGUUGUUCCCAUCCAAGCCACUCUCUCCAAUAGAACAGUUCCUGAAGGCACUAAUAGAGAUCAAUUUUCUCUAUUAUUCGGGGUCUGCAAUGCAGCAAAUAUUUCCGAAGCCAGCCUAAUCUCUUAGCAAAGCCCCUUGACUCCCCCACACAGCUGUUUUUAAUGGUGGACCAGGGACCACAUCAUGCAAGCACUUUCUGGGUUCUUUUACACUUCCUCCUUCCCCUAAAGCUCAUUUUCCCACAGCCUGCAUUCACUGGAUGCCUGGUGUGAGGAAAGAACUGGCACAUGUCCUGAUUCAGCCAUCUGUGCUUCCUCUCCCCACCAAAGUGAAAAUGCAUUCAAACUAAAUUAUUUUGAAAACACAUUCUCUCCAUUCAAGUUCUACUUCAAGACCUCACAAUAGAGGGCACCUCCACGAUCUCAUUCCUGGCAGCACUUGAAUGGGGGCUGCUGAACAAUACACUCUCAGUACUUGCUCAGAAAGAAAGACAAGACUUGGGACGAAAACAGGUGAAAGCUCUUCCGAGAUUUAGAGAGACAGGACCCGGUGCCGAAUUGCUUUCCAGGCGGUCAAGCCGCAUUGCUCAUUACGUGGAGUGAAUGGGAUGAUUCCAAACCAGCCCUGGACGAGCGCUCUUUUUCCAACCUGGAAACAGCCCAUUCAGUCAAUAACUCACCUCCAGUGCCUUUUCCUAAAGCAUUUACAGUCAGGAGAACAAAUUCAGAUCUUUGAGCCAAAGUCUCUUUUAAGAUACCCCAGAAAAUCAAGAAGUCAUGACAAUUAAAGAGUCCUGUACCAGCACAUCCUGUCUUCACUGCCUGCAAAGCUCACCACUCUCUUCUCCAUCCACAAACUCCCAUACUCCUUUGAAGCAGCAGCUGAGCCGCCACAACCUCGAGCCUCUCUCCUGAUCACAGCAUCACAUAGACAAGGCUUCAGUGGAACCAUGACAAUUAGAAUAUUUAUUGAUUGCAGCACUUACAAAAUUUGAAAUAUUUGAAU
rnacentral:lncRNA from 10 species